CCAUUCACAUAUGAUAACAAACAGCAUCGAGACAGGAAUGUUAAAGUUCGUUUGGAUUGAGCGAUCACAGAUAAUAAUUGGCAAAAUUUAUUCUCCGGAGCUAAGGUUAUCCAUCAGGUAUCACCUUGUUUUGAUCAUCUUCUAGUAUUACUAAAGUGUGUUGCUGAUGAAGAGAAGGUCUAUAGGCCGAAUUUUAGAAGGUAUGAGAUCUUUUGGGAAAGAGAUGCGAGUCUACAGGAAAGAAUUGCCAACGCAUGGGAGGAGGUUGGUGCCAAGUUCAACCUUGGGGAUGUUCGGUCUGGGCUCAAGAGUUUGUUGCUCAAUUUGCAUACAUGGGGAAAGAAAAGGUUUGGAAAUGUUACUAGAGAGCUUGAGAAAUCUAGAACUAAACUAGAAGAAUUGCUCAAUAUGAAUGCAGACCGAGAUGAAAUAAAAAAAGUUUCAGAUCACAUGAAUGAAUUGUUGUACUAGGAGGAAAUGUUGUAG
rnacentral:rRNA from 1 species